GUGAGGAAUAUUGGACAAUGGGCGCAAGCCUGAUCCAGCCAUGCCGCGUGCAGGAAGACGCAUCUAUGGUGUGUAAACUGCUUUUGUACGGGAAGAAACACUCCCUCGUGAGGGAGCUUGACGGUACCGUAAGAAUAAGGAUCGGCUAACUCCGUGCCAGCAGCCGCGGUAAUACGGAGGAUCCAAGCGUUAUCAGGAAUCAUUGGGUUUAAAGGGUCCGUAGGCGGUUUAAUAAGUCAGUGGUGAAAGCCCAUCGCUCAACGAUGGAACGGCCAUUGAUACUGUUAGACUUGAAUUACAAGGAAGUAACUAGAAUAUGUAGUGUAGCGGUGAAAUGCUUAGAUAUUACAUGGAAUACCAAUUGCGAAGGCAGGUUACUACUUGUGGAUUGACGCUGAUGGACGAAAGCGUGGGGAGCGAACAGGAUUAGAAACCCUGGUAGUCC
rnacentral:rRNA from 1 species